UACGAAGGGGGCUAGCGUUGCUCGGAAUUACUGGGCGUAAAGGGCGCGUAGGCGGACAGUUUAGUCAGAGGUGAAAGCCCAGGGCUCAACCUUGGAAUUGCCUUUGAUACUGGCUGUCUUGAGUACGGGAGAGGUGUGUGGAACUCCGAGUGUAGAGGUGAAAUUCGUAGAUAUUCGCAAGAACACCAGUGGCGAAGGCGGCUCACUGGCCCGGUACUGACGCUGAGGUGCGAAAGCGUGGGGAGCAAACAGG
rnacentral:rRNA from 1 species